AACGUAGGAGACAAACGUUAUCCGGAGUUACUGGGCGUAAAGGGCGUGUAGGUGGUUUUGUAAGUCUGGCGUGAAAUUUUUCGGCUUAACCGGGAAAGGUCGUCGGAUACUGCAAGGCUAGAGGACGGUAGAGGCGUGUGGAAUUCCGGGUGUAGUGGUGAAAUGCGUAGAGAUCCGGAGGAACCCCAGAGGCGAAGGCGGCGCCCUGGCUCGCAACUGACGCUCAGACACGACAGCAUGGGGAGCGAACGGG
rnacentral:rRNA from 1 species